rnacentral:lncRNA from 1 species
CUUUAUUGUUGUAAUCGAAUGUCAAAUAAAAUUAGGACAAUAUGAACAGUAAUUUAAAUUUUGCAAUAAUCGCUUUACUUUGUACUUGUUAUCUAGGUGUACAUGCAGAAAUCAGUCAGACUGAUGGUGAGGUAGCGAAAUUAUGGAAAGAACUCAAUGAACUGAAGGCUGUCCUUACGGAAAAUAGACUUGACCUAUUUAAUACCAGGAGAGAACUUGAAGGUACCAAGGAUGUUUUGGCGGAAACAAGGGUACGCCUUGAAAUUAUGGAAAAGAAAGAGGAAAAAUCGACAGAAACUCUGAUUGAAACCAGACGGGACCUAUUUAGAACACAAAGAGAUUUAAUGGAGACAAAGAAAUUGGUAGAAGGGAAUAAAGGAUUAUUUGAUGUUAUACAUAUAAGUGAGUUUUUAACCAUUCUAAAAAUUUUAACAUUUUACCGAAGUUUUAAACAGGGUGGUUUUAAUCGUUCAUUUUAUUAUCUGUACGACUAUUGAGCAUGGCAAAAUUAAAUCAGAUUAGCCACAGUAUUAAAUAAAAGUUCGAAAUGAAGGAGAUUUUAGAACACUAGAUAAGGUCCAAAAUAUCAAGCAUUACAGCGUUAUCAUAUCUCGUUAUAUAAACUUUUUUGUCUGAGAUGAACAAGAAAAUCUGAAAAUUGGUACUUGACCUGUGUUUAUAUGACAACAUUAUAUAUAACACAAUCAAACAACUUGGAGUUGAUCGAACACAUUUAAAAAAAAAUCCUUGUAGGUAAUCAAAGAACAACUACAUACAGUCAGACAUGAAAGUUUCCACCAAAAAUCUCUGAACAGAACAUGUAGAUAUAAACAUAAAACCCUUACAUAAAGCGGAGACUAAUGCAUGUGCUCCAAAACAGUCGGGGCUUUAUAAACAAUUAAUCUUGACACUUAUUAUGCACGUUUUUUUUAAAUUGUUUAUUAUCAUUUCAAUUUAUCUGCAUCGCUAUGCUUUACUUAUAACCGUAUGUUUACUAUACAUGCAAUUUUUGAAUAAUUCCUGAAGUUCAUGAAAACAUAUUGAUAGGAGCUGAAAUUCAGCGGGCGUCAUUUGUUGCUGUUUAUCAUAUACUUUGUUUGUUGUUUCUUACACAUGUUACAUACAUCACAAUACAUCCGCAUAAAUCUCUGAACAGUACAUGUGAAUAUCUUCAUAAAACCCUUCAAUUAAACGGAGAAAAAUAUCAUGUGUCGGAGCUUUAUAAACGAGUAAUUUUGACACUUAUAAUGUAGGUUUAUUUUUAUCUUGUUUAUCAUUAUAAAACAUAUUGAUGGGUGCUGUAAUUCAGCGGGCGUCAUGUAUUUAAGGAAUGACUGUUAUAUUUUUUUCUGUCUAUGAAAACAUAACAUAAACAAUUUGGUGCACAUGAAUAACGCGCGUAGCGGGUUAUUUAACAGUGUGCACCAUAUUUUUUAUGUUAUUUCGAAUAGACAGGAAAAAUAUUACAGUCAUUUCUUAUAAUCUUAUUAUAAAUUCCAUUUUAAACCGUAGAAAACCAUGAAAAAACGUUGAUGACGUACGGUCACAUUACUAAAUUAUGUCUUUGGGCUGAUAACAAAAUAACGUCAGCCAAUCAGAAGACGCAUUACAUCCAAAAUUAAAUUAUUGCUGUAUAUCAUAUAUUUGUUUUGUUGUUGUUUCGUAAAUAAAUAACGAGAAUGGUUUUCCUCGAUUGCUUUUUUUUUACAUUUUGCCAUAAAGGCAACAUGCAUAACUUACUUUACGGUAUAUGUUUGGGUCUUUGUUCAAUUCCGUACAGCGAUGUAUAUAUUUGCUAACAACUUCUUCAUUUGGUCAUUGGUACCUAAUUGUCUCAUUGGCAAUCUUACUACAUACCCUUAUUGGAUGUAUAGUUAUGAGGACAGAAUGUUGUUGUCUUGUAUAUUAUUUAUUAAAAAACAAAAGUUUCUUUCAGCAAACCACCAAAAACGGUUGCUGGAUUCUACAGAUGUAUUGCAUCAAGUUCAAGUAGACGUACAGAAUCUAAAGGCCAAUUUGGCAACUGUCCAAUCACAAGUCAAAACUAGUAACAGUAAGUCCUAUGCAUAAUUAUACAACGUUUGUGAACAAACUAAAUGAGUGAUAGGUCAGCUAUUUUGAAUGUAACUGAUUUACAAAGUCAAAAGUAAAGAUGGUUGUGUCGUUGACUCACUCCACAUGUAUGCGUGUACACAUUGUAUAUUCUUCAGACACGUUUUCACUAUUCUAUCUAACUAUUUUAGUUUAAGACAAAUGCUUAGUUGUUAUUGGCCUUUAACUAGCUUUCAGUACCCGUAGGUACUCUCAUAUUUGUACUUUGUCUUUAAAGUUUUUGUUAGGAUUCUGUUGUGUGUUGAAUCGACCUAAUGCAUUAAGGCGAAGUGUACGUAAUUGCACGCCUCUAGCGGAAUACGGGAUUAAAACGUUCGUCGUUAGUUACGCAAGUUAUCUCCCUUACUCCAAGAAAGGACACACGAAAGAGAAACUACUUUCUUCGGUCUAUAAUGAAUCCAACAAGCACGCCUGUGCUGUCUUUAACCUCAUAGAAAUUAUCUAAAUAACUCCAAUUAGAAAUCACAGCAUUCUGUACGUUGUUCUGUGUGCAGCCUGACUUAAAAACAUUGUUUUAGACGCGUAGGAGAAGGCAUUUCGUGUUUAUGAUAUCAACAGAAAGAAAAAACGCCUCACAACAAAAUUAUAAACAAAUAAACAAAUAAACAUGUAACAAUUUUUCUUCUAUUGAUAUCAAAUUAAUUAAAAUGAAACCUGAAUUGACCCAACAAUAUCGUUUUAAAAAGCCGUAGUCUUGAACGAAAAACACAGUACUCAGUGGCGGAUCCAGAGGGGGGGUUCCGCACCCCCCCCCCUUUAUUUUGGCCGAUCAAUGCAUUUGAAUCGGGACAUAUGUUUGCACCCCCCCCUUUGCCCUGGGCUAGCACCCCCCCUUUCGAAAAUUCCUGCAUCCGCCACUGGUACUCAACGUAAAGUUUUAUAAUAGGUUACACAUAAUUAAUGAAAGACGUGUGAAUUUAAUUGUUUAAUUAAAAAGACGUUGAAAUGUUCGUAUUUUGUGCAAUUGAAAAUUUAAGGACAGGAUUUAUAUUCAUAUAAGAAAUCAGACGAUACCAAGAGAAUAAUUUGACCACUUGUGCAAAACUUACCAGUCGGAAGAACAAAGACGGAAAACAAACAAAAAAUAAACAAAUUAUGCCCCAAAAAUUACUCAUUAACUUAAAAAUUUUCUUACUCUAACAUUUAUCUUAAAAUAAGUAAAAAUUAUGUCAUUCAACUCCCAGUUUUCAACUUUUCUACAUGUGCAGAAAAUAAACAGGUGUCUUCUAUUCCGUCCGCAAUUUAUGGGAAAACUAAAUCUAAAUUUAGAACCAUAUUGAAAUUGAAAGUACACAUGUAAGAUAAAAUAUAACAUGUCAUUUCUUCUUUCACAAAUUCCAAUUUCGAAGAGAUAUAUAGCGAAAUCUGUUUUCUUUUAUUGUGCCUGUGUGCAUCAUUCAAAAUUAGAGAAUGUAAUUUUGAAGUAUCAAGUCUCAAUCCAAGAUUAUGAAUGAAUAAAAUAUAGAAUUACGGUGGAAAAGGGGGGGGGUAUGACCUUUAUCGGAACUCCGGGAUCGGGUGUUUUUAAGCUCGGGAUUUCGGGAUUGACCCUUUCGGGAUCCGGGAAUUCUAUUUCCGAAUUUCGGGUAGUUGGGAUUUAAAUUUUUUUUUAAUUCGGGACCUCGCCGGAUUUCGUGUUUUUAAGGCCGGGAUUUCGGGAUCUGGAUCCUUCCUUCCCUCCUCCCUCUAUUAUGGUUAAAGAAAAAAGGUCGGGGAAGUUUUGUGAUACUUGUAACUGCAAUUUAAUAUUUAGUGGAAUGAGAGGUGAAAUGUGUUCAGACUAUUACAUUUCGAUUUUUUUUUUUUAAAUUUAACCAAAGUUUACUGCAAGGGGUGUUUAACGACCUCGAUGAUUAUCCAUGAGGAUCUCGCACUCGGUCAGCUCUAGGUUUUCACCUAGUUCAUGAUCAUACAAGAAUUGAGAAGCCUGUGGUUUACUAGUCUUAUAAUAUGAGACUUUGGAGUUCAUAUAAUUUACAUUCAACGUUUUUAUCGAAUAUUUCAAGGCUUUUUUACUAUCAAUGUUGAUCCCCUCUUCCAAUUGAUUGGAUAAAAUGAAUGGAUUACCGCCCCUAUUUCAAACUGAAGACCUAUAAACUGACUGGUAUUCCAAUUUGUUAAAAGAAAUAAUUGGUAUCUCUAUUGAUUCAAUACCGUAAUGCCGAAAAACAAUCAUUUGUUUCCACGAAUUCCGAACAGCUAGAAAUAUAUUCCCGAGUUUCAAUUUGAGUAACUCGAAUAAUUCAAGCCCUUUCCAUGUCCGAUUUUCUCCCACACGAGAAAUGUAGCAUUCGUACAUCAGCUGAAUAAAACGACUGAAUUAUUCGGGUUACAAUUUGUGUAGAUCCCGAAUGCACAUAAAAGUAAAGGUCCAGUCCGACUUUCGGAAUGGACUGUUGUAGAUUUCAGGUUGAUUUCUAGAAAUAAAAAUCAUACAAAAAUGUUUCACGCAAAUAUUCGUCUUCAGACGUGUAAAGUUAUACAACGGUUACUAGCCGGUUUGGAUUGUGAUAAAAAGAAGCGCAUGCAAUGCAUAAAAUAUAUAAUGUCGUGGCUCAGGGAUGUGUUGAAUUAUAGAAAUGCUUGUGCGGCACAAAGAUUAGAUUAAUUUACCCAAAUGUACUAAGAAUUACCACACAACUUAAAUUUACUUAAAAAUUGAUUUGUUAUCCUGUGCCAGAGAGAUGGCUGAUAUUCUGAGAAGAGACCUUGAUGAAAUGAAGUUUUAUGGGAACAAAGAUUUUGAAAACACGUUGCAGUGUUUAGAUUUUAACAAAAAAUAAGGCACCAAAGUCGAAAAUAGUUCUAGUUCAUAAUGAAGAAAAUGUCAACCGUUUUCUAGCUUGGCGAUCUCCGCACGCACCCGAAUAUAAUAGACAAAUACAAUACAAUAGUACACAAAACGUAGCAUAAAGAACUAAAGACCGAGCAACACGAACUCCAACAAAACAGUAUAUAUUUCAUACAAGUAUAGGACUAUAUGAAGCGUCGUAACUGUUGCGGCGACGUCAAUAACGUUGUCGUUGUUUUUUGUUUUUUUACACUCAAGAUUCAACUUUAACAGGGUAUAGAUUGAAAAGUAGCACGGUUGCUAAGGACUUUCUUUGCACCAAUCGAUUCCUCAGACAUUUUAGAAUCGUCUCAUAAAUUUAAAAAAAAAUCGAUUGUCUAAUAUAAUAGAAAAUCUUGGAAAUGUAACAAUUCCUGCCGAAUUUCACGAUUUUCCCUAUAUAUCCUUUGUAAUUUUGGUGUAUGAUGCUGGUAACUUCAACAGCUCGUAUCUCAAAAACGAAAACGGUUACCCCCUUUUUUAUUUUAUUUUCCGAUUUAUUUUUACAAGCAGAAUCUACAUGUAAAAUUUAAAAAGAAUCCAUUGUGUAGUUUAAUUACGUACACUUCGCCUUAAGCCCAUAUCAUCUGUUUUAUCUAGUUUUCUCUUAUGUUGUUAUUGUACACCUCUGUCCAAUGUAAGAGGAGGGUAUGGCGCUAGAAAACAUACAUUACCCCUCCAAAUUAUGUACUUAGUAUGUGUCAGUCAGAAGUCUGUUCUUCAGUGUUAUCGUUUGUUGCUUAAAACAUAUUCGUUAUUUUUUAAUACAUUGUUUAAUAUUGUGUUAGGAAAGUGGUUAAUAUCGUGAAACUAGUUCGUAUGAAAUUUGGCAUCAGCGUUAAUUGAAAUUUGAAAUGACAUUUUUUUGUUGCAGGUCAAACGCCUAGAAUAGGAUUCACGUCAGUCAUAAGUAAAGACGUCGUUAACCUUGGUGACGAUCAAAUUAUCCGCUUUGAUACAGUGUAUACAAACGAAGGUCGUGACUAUAAUAAUCAUACGGGUAUAUUCACGUGUGAAAUACCAGGACUAUACGUUUUUUAUGUUCAUACUUUAGCCGAACCUGGAAAACAUCUUGAAACAGAAAUAACAAAAAAUCUUCGAGCUAUGGCAAAUACGUAUGCAUACGAUAAAGAAGCGUUUUCUUCCGGCAGUAACAUGGCUGUGAUGACACUCCAAAGCGGUGAUACUGUGCUGGUCCGAUCUCAUGGCAGUGCGCAUUCUCAUAAUGGAUCAGUGAUUGACUACUGGUAUACAUCCUUCUCUGGGUUCCUAAUUGCACCUUGAGAAAAAAGAUAUAGAUAUG